rnacentral:rRNA from 1 species
AACGAACGCUGGCGGCAUGCCUAACACAUGCAAGUCGAACGAAACCUUCGGGCCUGGUGGCGCACGGGUGCGUAACGCGGGGGGACCUGCCCUUGGAUUCGGAAUAACUCCGCGGAUGGGGUCCGAAUACCGGCGCAUAUCUUCGGACCAAAGGUUUAUCGCCUUUGGAUGGGCCCGCGUUGGCUUAGCUUGUUGGUAGGCUAAAAGCCUACCACGGCGACGAUCCAUAGCUGGUCUGAGAGGCUGAUCAGCGACACUGGGACUGAGACACGGCCCAGACUCCUAGGCGAGGCAGCAGUGGGUGAUAUAGGCCAGCGGGGUGUGUCCUGAUCCAGCACUGCCUGGUGAGUGAUGAAGGCCUUAGGGUUGUAAAGCUCUUUUACCCGGGAUGAUAAUGACGGUACCGGGAGAAUAAGCACCGGCUAACUCCGUG